ACUAGUUGUAAGGGUGGGUUUCUCCCUCCUUCCCAUACUCUUUCUCUGUGGAAUGUGUCCAUUAACAUCUUAUCCCUUUCAAUCAAACCCAGAAACAGCAUGAGCUUCUCCUUCGCAUCUUCUCCUUACUCUUGUUCGAAAGUCUCAAAUGCCUCUCAUCUUCUUGAUCCCCAAGAGUUCUCAAUCGUCAAUAGGCUCAAUUCCUGCAAAGCCACACGAGAACUAAAACAAAUCCACUCCUACAUCAUCAAAACAAGCCCAACUCUUCAACCCCAACUCCUCUGUCCAAAAUUGCUCUCUUUAUGCGCCAAAUUUCCUGACAUAGACCUCAGCUAUCUUUAUUCCGUUUUCACCCAAAUUUCCAAUCCAGGUGUUAGUUUGUACAAUGCUAUUAUCCGGUGCUUUUCGGGUUGCAAGAACAAGAACGGCUCUUUGCUUGCGUUAUCUUUUUAUAGCGAAUUGCUGGCCAAGGGUUUGAUUCCUGACAAGUACACGUACCCUUUUCUUCUCAAGGCUUGCGCCGAAUCCCGUGCGUUGAGGGAAGGUCAGGAGGUUCAUGCCCGUGUAGUUAAGAAUGGGUUUGCGUUGGAUUUGUAUGUGGUCAACACAUUGAUUAGAUUAUACGCUGUUUGUGGGGCUAUUGAGUCAGCGCAAAAGAUGUUCGAUGAAGGUCCUCAUAGGGAUUUGGUUUCGUGGACUACAUUGAUUCAGGGUUAUGUUAAGAUGGGGUUUUGGAAGGAAGGCAUACUGUUGUUUUUUGAUAUGUGUGAUGCAAAUUUUCAGGUUGAUGAACUGACAGCGGUGAUUGUCCUUUCUGCGUGUGCUAAGUUGGGAGAUUUGACUUUGGGUAGGAGGAUACACCUGUAUAUGUGCGACCAGAAGGUGAAUUUUGAUGUCUUUGUUGGGAAUGCAUUAAUCGAUAUGUACUUAAAAUGUGGUGAUGCUGAUUUUGCUUGUAAAAUUUUUAAUGAGAUGCCAGUGAAGAAUGUGGUUUCUUGGAACUCCAUGGUAUCAGGAUUGGUGCAGAAAGGGGAAUUCAAAGAGGUCUUAAAUAUGUUUAGGAAGAUGCAGAGACGAGGUGUCAAGCCGGAUGAUUUCACUAUGGUUGGCGUGCUCAAUUCUUGUGCUAAUCUGGGCAUGCUUGAGCUGGGGAAAUGGGCUCAUGCCUACGUGGAUAGAAACCGCAUCAAAGCAGAUGGGUUUAUAGGGAAUGCAUUGGUGGAUAUGUACGCAAAGUGUGGAAGCAUAGAUGAAGCCUCGAAAGUAUUUAAUGGCAUGAAAUGCAGAGAUGUCUAUACAUACACGACCAUAAUUGUUGGGCUAGCAAUGCACGGACAAGGAGAGAGAGCAUUGGAUCUUUUCUCUCAGAUUCCUAAGAUGGGCAUAAAACCGAAUGGCGUGACAUAUUUAGGUGUCCUUAUGGCGUGCAGUCAUGCAGGACUUGUGGACGAAGGGCAUAAGCAUUUUUCAGAGAUGUCAAGAGUCUAUGAUCUUGAACCCCAAAUGCAGCACUAUGGUUGCAUGGUUGACCUAUUGGGUCGUGCGGGGUUGGUAAAUGAAGCACAAGAGUUUAUUAGUAAUAUGCCAAUUGAACCUGAUGCUUUUGUUUGGGGAGCGUUACUGGGAGCUUGUAGGAUCCAUGGGAAUGUUGAGCAUGGCGAGAUUGUUAUGGAAAAACUUGAGAAAUUAGAGCCCGAAAGAGAUGGGACCUACGUACUCAUGUCUAACAUAUAUUUCUCUGCAAAUAAGAGGAGAAAUGCGUUGAAGUUGAGAAAGGCAAUGAAAGAAAGGGAAAUAAGAAAGAUUCCUGGGUGUAGUUCUAUUGAACUGGCUGGGGUGGUUCAUGAGUUCCGAAGGGGUGACAAGUCACACCGGAAAACUAAGGAUAUAUAUAGUAUAUUGGACGAAUUGACUAGUCAUUUACAGAAUAGUGGCCAGUGGGUACAUACUGAUGAAUUAUAUUGAAGGAACUGAUUGGAGGAGCAAAAACUGAUAGCUUAACAAAGAGAUAAGGGCAUGAUGUAUUUCUGGUGGGUAUUCAGGAGUUGAUCUCUCCUUCCUUCCAAGUUCCAUCUGAUAUCAGAGUCAGCAUUAAGGACUAAGCAGAAGAAUCAUGGCUACUUAGAGAUGAGCAAGAGUUCUUGUAAAGUUUGACUAAGAAGAUUUGAAUAAGUGAGCGGCGUCAAACUCCCAUAUGAUGAUGUUUUGAGCUCGUGUUGCUAUGUACUGUACUGUUCUUUUUGCUGGACAUCCCCUUUUCCAGAAGCAAAUUAUAACUAGAAGUUUAUGGAACAAUGCGACAGCUACAUGUAAAACAACUACUUGCUAUGGAAGCAGCCAUUCCAGUGACAGGCAACAAGCAGUUGAUUUUCUUUUGCGGAUGGGCGAAUUUAAUGGUUACUUCAUCAUCAACAAUCCGGACAUUGAUCUCAAAGUCUUUGAACUUUCUCUGAAGCCAUGAGCUCCUCAAUCCAUUGUAGGAGGACUGGUCUUGAUGAUAGGGACCAUCACUUUCUGUCUUGUGCCUUUUGAUCCUCUCUAUGCUGCAUCUCUUCCUCUUCACCAGCAUUUUUAGCCCAUUGACAGUUCUGAGAAGCUCUUUGAUGUACCCAAUGGCAUCUCCCACCACUGAUGCUCUAUCAGCCUUUGGUGUACUCCAAACAGAAAUUGUUGAAAAUGAAAAACAAAAGAUAGCCAACUUCACAUUUUAGUAUGUAUAUGUGCAUCACCAAGUUCUGGAAUUCCUUAAAUGGGAAGUGACGUGUAACCAUGGAGAGGGAGAAAAGGAACUAAGAGCAUCGCUGGUUGAUGUUACAAUGGCGACGCCAAAGCCAAAAUUUGGCCUUGUACGUUGCCAAAGUACUAGCAUAAUUAAUCAAGAAUGUGACAAUCCAGCUCCAAUGGUGCAAAUAUCAUUUUUUUUUCUACAAUGAAGGCAAAACUGUUUAGAUAGGCUUUUAGAUCCCAUUAUGAGAGAGUGAUUAAGGUGAUGAGUUAUGCCAAAAGCUAGUAACUAACUAUGUUUGGUGCCAAAUUUGUCCUGAAGGUUUGCAAGGCCAUAAUUUGGCGACAUUGAACUUCAGUACAGAAUUUGAGUUUGUUUUUUGUUCUAUUCUGAGAAGUUCUUGCCAAAAUCCAAAUUCUAACUUUAACACUUGUUUUGGCUCACCGUUUGUAAGAUACUCAAAAGCAUGUGCAUUAGUAGCAGUUAGUGU